AGUGAACGCUGGCGGUAGGCCUAACACAUGCAAGUCGAACGGCAGCACAGUAAGAGCUUGCUCUUACGGGUGGCGAGUGGCGGACGGGUGAGGAAUACAUCGGAAUCUACUUUUUCGUGGGGGAUAACGUAGGGAAACUUACGCUACUACCGCAUACGAUCUACGGGUGAAAGCAGGGGAUCUUCGGACCUUUCGCGAUAGAAUGAGCCGAUUUCGGAUUAGCUAGUUGGCGGGGUAAAGGCCCACCAAGGCGACGAUCCGUAGCUGGUCUGAGAGGAUGAUCAGCCACACUGGAACUGAGACACGGUCCAGACUCCUACGGGAGGCAGCAGUGGGGAAUAUUGGACAAUGGGCGAAGGCCUGAUCCAGCCAUACCGCGUGGGUGAAGAAGGCCUUCGGGUUGUAAAGCCCUUUUGUUGGGAAAGAAAAGCAGCAGGUUAAUACCCCGCUGUUCUGACGGUACCCAAAGAAUAAGCACCGGCUAACUUCGUG
rnacentral:rRNA from 1 species